rnacentral:lncRNA from 1 species
GGUUUUGAGGGUGAUGUUAGUAGAAAAAAAAAGGGGAGGAAGUUUGACUGAGGAGGAAAAGAGAUUAAGCGAUUCUCGAAAGGCUAAGGUGAUUGAGAGAAUCGUUGCUGUGUUGAGAUCGAUAGAGGCAAGAGGUAAUAUAAAUUCGAGUUUUAAACACUGAAAAUGGGAUUUUGUAAUUAAAUCUUACAAUGUGAUUGAUGUUUGGUGUAAUGAACCCUAGAAGAGAGAGAGGACUAACAGAGAGGAUAGGGAGCUGUGAAAUCAGAGGAGUGUCGGUGAGGAAGGAAAUCGAGAGGAGUAGGUGAAAUGGUGAGGAACUCGAACGGGAGGGAUGAUGCAGAAAUGAGACCGUGUAUAUAGAUAUAGAUCGGUAUAUGUAUAGGUACUGGAAUAUCACCAGAGGGAAAAAUCAAUUCGAAAAUGAAGAGAUUAGACAAGGAGUGUUUGACAGUCAUUAAAGAGAGAGAAAACUCGAGAUUUUGAAGUUUAGGUUGGGGAGGGAGUAUGGAACGGAGACUGUGGUGGUUUUAGUGUCUUGAGAGUGACGGUUAGGAGGGAUGAGAGAGAGAGAGAUACAUGGGAGGGUAAGAGGAAAACAGGAAGUUGGGAUGGACGUCCAUACAGUAUGAAAGGAGGGGAGAGAGUGGCAAUAACGAUGUGUGUGUGUGUUUGUGUAUGAUACAUGACAGGAAUAAUAAAAAUGUGAAAACUGUAUGUACUCCGUUUGCACGCGUAUGUAGGUGAUGAAUUACUCUGCGUGCUGAUUGAGUAUGUAUGCCUAUAUGAAAUAUUCUGCAUGUUUGUUGUCGAAUAUGCAUGCUUAUAUGAUGAUUGAUUGUGAUUGUGAAAAUUGUAUAAAUGUAGUCAUGGUAUUUUCCUAGAGUGGGAAUGUCGAUAUUGGCUGUUGAUAGUUGUUGGUAAUGGAACAUGGGAGAACUGCCGAUAUUGGUGAUGACUGAGGCUCACCUGGAGGGUAACAGUACGAGUCUGUGGCAAGCUUGGGGUGGAUUACUGGCCAUAGUAAGUUGGAUCGUCGAUAUUGGUGAUGACUGGGGGUUAUCGGGAGGGUAACGGCGUGGGUGUGUGGUCGGUUUAUGGUCGAAUGUGGGCGGAAAUGGGAAUAAGUUAGGUCGCUGAUAUUGGUGAUGGAUGGGGAUUACCUGAAUGGAUAACAGUGUGAGUGGGUGGCCGAUUAAGGGUCAAGUAGUGGCAGAAAUGGAGGUGAAUUGGGUUACCGAUAUUGGCGAUGGCUGAGGGGUUUAUCUGGAGAGUAAUAGUGUGGGUGUGUGGCCGAUUUAUGAUCAAGUUGACAGGUGCUUUGGGUACUGUUGUAUGGUCUAUAGAGGUGACCUCACGUGGUAAGAGUCGGUAAGAGUUGACGGUCUUUUUUUGAGGAGAGUUGUAAUUAUAGUGGUGGUAAGCGAGAAAGAGGGGAAGAUUGUGGGUAAGCGAGAAAGAGGGGAAGAUUGUGGGUAAGGGGAGACGAAGAGGCUAAUAGAAGUAAGAAUAUAGGAAGUGGGACACUAAUGUAGGCAUUUAAUUGGGUUUUCAUGUUAUGUUUAUGAUUUGAAUUUGUGUAUACUCAUUACUUAACAUUUACAGAUAAUGUAGUACAGGAAACUGGACCAGAGUUGCACUCUUCUGAGCUUAGCGUGCAGAGGAGACUGGAUGGGAAGCGUGGAUAGUGCACCGAAAUACUUGUAUAGUUAGUGGAAAGUAGACUAUUUUAAAAUAAAAACAGUGUAAUUGUAAUCUACAGUAUUAAUAUAUGUAUGAUGGAGAAACUUUAGACAUUGAAUGAUUAAAUUUAAAUAUUUAUUAUGUACCGGAUUACAUAGUGUUGAGAGAAUUUGGUUAUGAAAUAAAAUGUCAUACUAGAUAUGCAGCCAGGGUCGUCGUACCGCCUCUAAAAUUAAGAUCGGGGC